GUGCCAGCCGCCGCGGUAAUACGGGGGGGGCAAGCGUUGUUCGGAAUUACUGGGCGUAAAGGGCGCGUAGGCGGCCUUCUAAGUCAGACGUGAAAUCCCUCGGCUCAACCGGGGAACUGCGUCUGAUACUGGAGGGCUUGGAUCCGGGAGAGGGAUGCGGAAUUCCAGGUGUAGCGGUGAAAUGCGUAGAUAUCUGGAGGAACACCGGUGGCGAAGGCGGCAUCCUGGACCGGCAUCGACGCUGAGGCGCGAAAGCCAGGGGAGCAAACGGGAUUAGAUACCCGCGUAGUCC
rnacentral:rRNA from 1 species